rnacentral:rRNA from 1 species
AAAGCUCAAAUUUAAAAUCUGGUAGUCUCUGGCUGCCCGAGUUGUAAUCUAGAGAAGUGUUAUCCGCGCUGGACCGUGUACAAGUCUCCUGGAAUGGAGCGUCAUAGAGGGUGAGAAUCCCGUCUUUGACACGGACUACCAGGGCUUUGUGAUAUGCUCUCAAAGAGUCGAGUUGUUUGGGAAUGCAGCUCUAAAUGGGUGGUAAAUUCCAUCUAAAGCUAAAUAUUGGCGAGAGACCGAUAGCGAA